GUUCUGGGCCGCACGCGCGCUACACUGAUGCGUUCAACGAGUAUACAACCUUGAUCGAUAGGUCUGGGUAAUCUUUUGAAUGCGCAUCGUGCUAGGGAUAGAUUGUUGCAAUUUUCAAUCUUGAACGAGGAAUUCCUAGUAAACGCAAGUCAUCAGCUUGCAUUGAUUACGUCCCUGCCCUUUGUACACACCGCCCGUCGCACCUACCGAUUGAAUGACUCGGUGAAAAAUUGGGACUGUGAGCCUGUUUGCUUUAUUGCGAGUGGGUUUGUGGGAACUUUUUUUAACCUCGCCAUUUAGAGGAAGGUGAAGUCGUAACAAGGUUUCCGUAGGUGAACCUGCGGAAGGAUCAUUACCACACCUAAAAAAACUUUCCACGUGAACUGUCGUUAUUUGUUGUGUGUGUGCGUGUUGGUAGCAUGCGUGUUUGCUUACGCUUUGGUGUUUGCGAGUGCGCGUACUGUCGGUGCGCAGACUGAACGAAGGUCGUGUGUUGCUGUGUGCCUGCUGCACUGCUGACUUUGCAUUGAUUUGCAUGGUGUUGGCGGAGCGGCGGGUGCUGUUGCGUGCGCGGCUGACCUAUUUUUUUCAAACCCCAUACCUAAAUGACUGAUUAUACUGUGAGAACGAAAGUUCUUGCUUUUAACUAGAUAACAACUUUCAGCAGUGGAUGUCUAGGCUCGCACAUCGAUGAAGAACGCUGCGAACUGCGAUACGUAAUGCGAAUUGCAGAAUUCAGUGAGUCAUCGAAAUUUUGAACGCAUAUUGCACUUCCGGGUUAUGCCUGGAAGUAUGUCUGUAUCAGUGUCCGUAAAUCAAACUUGCGUUUCUUCCUUCCGUGUAGUCGGUGGAGGAGAGUUGCAGAUGUGAAGUGUCUCGCUGUGGUUGGUGUUUGUUGUUUGCAAUGAAUGCACAGCUUGCGAGUCCUUUUAAAUGGACACGACUUUCUCUUUUUUGUAUGUACGCGGUGCUGUGCGUGAACGCGGUGGUUUUCGGAUCACUCGCGGCUGUCGGCGACUUCGGUGAAUGCAUAAUGGAGUGGACCUCGAUUCGCGGUAUGUUGGGCUUCGGCUGGACAAUGUUGCUUAUUGUGUGUCUGUUCCGUGUUCGCCUUGAGGUGUACUGGUGGCUGUGGGAUUGAACUGGUUACUGUUGUUAGUAGUGUGUGUGG
rnacentral:rRNA from 1 species